GAAACAUUAGAACUCACACUGAAACGGAGCUAGAGCUCUGUGUCCUGGAGAAGAUUUAUUUUCAAAGCAACACGUGUGACGGUAAUAAUCCGUACCAGAGCAGACCUCAUUAGCACUUCCGCUAGGUCGGCUAACCUUUCCGGUCACUCCAGGGACGCUGUUGUCGAGUGAAAGUAGCAGUUCCUCCUUAAGGUCAGAGAUUGCAGCAACUGCGGGCCUCUUCAAAAGACGACAUAGUUGAUGAAGGCGUUCUGGAGCAGGACCAGAAAGACCACGACCAAGCAGCCUUGAGAUCUUAGGCAGCGUCUCCCUCAGGUGGAUGUCAACGGUGUUCACGGCCAGACCAAAGAACUACAGACUCUUCACAACCUGCUCAAACUCUUGGUACAGGACCUCACCACACGGGUCAAGAAGGUUUCCGUCUCAUUUCUACUCUGAAGCUCACCUUCUCCUGCUCAAACUGCUGACAAUGUUUCUGCUACUCUAAAGUCUGGUCUCCAGAACUUCCUAAAAACUCUCAAAGUCUCUUCUGCUGCAGGUUGCUUUGUAGAACUGUUCCAGAAAACCUCACUAAACCACAUGGAGGGGCCUCAAGAUAGUCGUCCAAAUGAAACUGUACAAAAACCAAACUAGCACAACCCAAACGCUAAAGUCUCCUGCAGCCUACCAGAGAACCUCUGAGAACAGAGAAUCAGGACA
ensembl:lncRNA